rnacentral:rRNA from 1 species
AGAGUUUGAUCCUGGCUCAGAAUCAACGCUGGCGGCGCGCCUAACACAUGCAAGUCGAACGAGAAAGUGGAGCAAUCCAUGAGUAAAGUGGCGUACGGGUGAGUAACACGUGGAUCAUCUGCCCUUUAGUGGGGAAUACCGCUGGGAAACCGGCGACAAUACCGCAUAAGCUCGAGAGAGGAAAGCGGUUCUAUGAAAGUAGAGCCGCGCUGAAGGAGGAGUCCGCGGUCGAUUAGCUAGUUGGUAGGGUAAUGGCCUACCAAGGCUGUGAUCGAUAGCCGGCCUGAGAGGGCACACGGCCACACUGGCACUGAAACACGGGCCAGACUCCUACGGGAGGCAGCAGUGGGGAAUCUUGCACAAUGGGGGCAACCCUGAUGCAGCGACGCCGCGUGAGCGAUGAAGCCCUUCGGGGUGUAAAGCUCUUUCGGCAGGGAAGAUUAUGACGGUACCUGCAGAAGCAGCUGCGGCUAACUACGUGCCAGCAGCCGCGGUAAUACGUAGGCAGCAAGCGUUGUUCGGAGUUACUGGGCGUAAAGGGUGCGUAGGCGGCUCGAUAAGUAUGGUGUGAAAUCUCCCGGCUUAACUGGGAGGGUGCGCUAUAGACUGCCGGGCUAGAGUGUGGGAGAGGAAAGUGGAAUUCCUGGUGUAGCGGUGAAAUGCGUAGAUAUCAGGAGGAACACCGGUGGUGUAAACGGCUUUCUGGACCAUAACUGACGCUGAGGCACGAAAGCGUGGGUAGCAAACAGGAUUAGAUACCCUGGUAGUCCACGCCCUAAACGAUGCAUAUUUGGUGUGG